rnacentral:rRNA from 1 species
ACGAACGCUGGCGGCGUGCCUAAUACAUGCAAGUCGAACGGUCUUUCUAUGGAAGCUUGCUUCCACUGAGAAGAUAGUGGCGAACGGGUGAGUAACACGUGGGUAACCUGCCCAUAAGAGGGGGAUAACAUCCGGAAACGGGUGCUAAUACCGCAUAGUUUUCUUGAUCGCAUGAUUGAGAAAGGAAAGACGGCCUUUGUGCUGUCGCUUAUGGAUGGACCCGCGGCGUAUUAGUUAGUUGGUGAGGUAACGGCUCACCAAGACGAUGAUACGUAGCCGACCUGAGAGGGUGAUCGGCCACAUUGGGGCUGAGACACGGCCCAAACUCCUACGGGAGGCAGCAGUAGGGAAUCUUCCGCAAUGGACGAAAGUCUGACGGAGCAACGCCGCGUGAGUGAAGAAAGGUUUUCGGAUCGUAAAACUCUGUUGUCAGAGAAGAACAAGUUGGAGAGUAACUGCUCCAGCCUUGACGGUAUCUGACCAGAAAGCCACGGCUAACUACGUGCCAGCCGCUGC